rnacentral:rRNA from 1 species
CGGACGGUCCGUGUCGGAUAUUGGGCGUAAGGGCUCGCAGGCGGUUUCUUAAGUCUGAUGUGAAAGCCCCCGGCUCAACCGGGGAGGGUCAUUGGAAACUGGGGAACUUGAGUGCAGAAGAGGAGAGUGGAAUUCCACGUGUAGCGGUGAAAUGCGUAGAGAUGUGGAGGAACACCAGUGGCGAAGGCGACUCUCUGGUCUGUAACUGACGCUGAGGAGCGAAAGCGUGGGGAGCGAACAGGAUUAGAUACCCCCGUAGUCCCA